UACUCUACUCAGACAUUAUUCUCAUUGCAGCUCCCCUCUCUUCUCGCUUCUGUGUUCUCUCUCGACAACCUCUUUACCGGGUCUGGAAACCUGACCACAAACACAUUGCUCAAUUUAUAAUUCCUACUCUUCUUUCUCAAUCUCCUAUUUUCGCCAUUCCAUUCUAAAUUAUUUCCAGUAGGCGACAAUUUCUGGUAGCGGCAACUGUUCGGCGUGCGGAAACAACCUGGCCGGCAAAGCAAACAACACCAUGCAUCGAACAGAUAGUACAACAUCUGGACGAUUUUUUCAUUGGUGCUUGUUUCCCAAAAAAUCAUCAUGCUUCGGAUGGUAAUACAGUGAACAUCUUCUUCGCAUGGUUUUGAAGAAUGGAGUUCAUUUGUUUGGAAAACAAAAACAAAUGACCAGGACAUCUUGGACACUAUUACACAGUCACAACAUAGUUCCUCCCUAAUUGCCUUUGUGGUUUGCUCAGUCACAACAUAGUUCCUCCCUAAUUGCCUUUGUGGUUUGCUGAGGAUGUAGCUGCACAUGUUGAUUCCAGAAACUUAUAAAUUGAUUUUCGCUUUCUCUUUGAAUGUAAUAUUUUCUUUCUCUUUGUAUUCAAGAGACAAUGAAGUGUCUGAGUAUAUGUAUAUAUAAGCAUACGUGGAACUAAGAGAUA